UUCUCUGGCAGAUAUGUCGUCCCUCUGAACAGCCAUGUGGGAGAAAAGAGAAGCCCAAUCCACUCCCGAGGCCCGGCCCAACUAGACAACUUCCUCAGCACAUACUGUACAACCUCACUGGUUCUGGAUCAAACUCUUCAAGUCAACACCUGCAGGACAGCUACUUACUCACAAGGGCAUCUAGUUUUGCAUCUCCCCUGCAAAGAAAAAAAGAAAAAUCAACCUUCAUGGAGGUGGAGGUGUAAGCUCUUUCCUCUGUCUCCCAGGUCACCUUCUACUGACGCAUGCCUGUCUUCACAGCAGACAUUUAGAGAAAGAAACUGAGACUUCAAAUAUCCAAGUAUGCAUGAAAUUCUCAUUUCCUACAGAGGUCAUAUAGCAGUUCAGCAGACUGGAGUAGAAAGCAGUGAUUUACUGAAAAAAAAAAGUGUGGAGAAAUGGAAAUGUAGUGAUGCAGACCAGAUUCCAUGAACCAAAGCUGAGGAGAGAAAAGCCUUUGACUUCUGCAAACUUUGCUCCUUGCUAGUACCAUGUGGUGGAAAAUCUGAAAACACGCACAGUUGUCAAUGCA